rnacentral:rRNA from 1 species
GACGUAGGGGGCGAGCGUUGUCCGGAAUCACUGGGCGUAAAGAGCACGUAGGCGGGAUAUUAAGUCAGGUGUGAAAGACCGUGGCUCAACCACGGGGUUGCAUUUGAAACUGAUAUUCUUGAGGGCAGGAGAGGACAGUAGAAUUCCUGGUGUAGCGGUGAAAUGCGUAGAAAUCAGGAGGAAUACCGGUGGCGAAGGCGACUGUCUGGACUGACCCUGACGCUGAGGUGCGAAAGCGUGGGUAGCAAACAGGAUUAGAUACCCUGGUAGUCCACGCCGUAAACUAUGGAUACUAGGUGUAGGAGGUAUCGACCCCUUCUGUGCCGCAGCAAACGCAAUAAGUAUCCCGCCUGGGGAGUACGAUCGCAAGGUUGAA